AGGUUGGUGUUUUGUUCAGAUGGUGCAGAUAAGGAGCAGUGGGAGCUCUCCCACUGGGCUGCACCGUGCAUCGCUGCGAGCAGCGCCCUGAUGCCAGAGCCCUGUACGACUGAACAAAGUCCUGCAUCGCCAGUUAAAGGAGGUGCAGACCUGCGAAAUUGCUGCCGUUGUUCAUUCACCACUUUCAGGUUCUAAGAAUCAACCUUGUCCUAUGUUAGGCAGCUGGAGGCAAGAGUAAGACAGCUGGAGGAGGAAAAUCGCGUGCUGCCCCAGGUUGUGUGGAGGAAACUUGGAGAUGCUGCAGGGUCGUGCCCUGGAAUUAGGCAACAUCUGACAGGAAACCAAUACAAAGGACCGAUGUAAAAGGCCUCGAGCACAUCCUCUGCCUGAUGAGAAAGAAUUGGAACUGCUGACGAGAGGCAAGGAACUGGCGGUGUGCUCAGCACCAUCCUGGCUGACGAUGGGUGCCCUUAUGGGCUGCACUGGGGGCUCCUCGGUGAUGCUGGGGGGUCUGUCAGAGGUGCUGGCAUUGCAGUGACCCACGGACUGCUGUCUCACUAUGCUGGCUACUGAAACGCUGCCGCGGCAUCGUCCCUUCAGCACCGCAUUUAGAAGCACUGAGAUAUUUCCAUUCCUAACGAAAAGACGAUAGGGGUUUUGCAGCACUUACAUGAAAGGAGUCAUUAUUUUGGUUAGCUACAGUGAGUCUCUAGUAAGUCUGAACAAAUUGUCCACUAGAUUUACCAGUUUUUCGCCAGACUGGAGAGACAUUGAUGAACUGUUGUGCCUUUGGUCCCCACAGUUUUGACAAAGUCAUUUCUUAGCAACUCACACUUCAGUCUAUAAGGUAUCAGCUAAUGGUGCUUAAGCAAUUUACGGCUGAUUAUUAUUAUUAUUUGCUUUGGUAGAAUACCUGCCUUUGGAGGUGCUAAAAGACCAUAAUGUCUCCUAACCAGCCAGUAGUGUAGCAUAACUACAGUACUUGUAGUGAAACACAAUUUCUUUCUAAAUGAAAGUGAAGAUAGCUUUCUGUUCAAUUUACUUUGAUGCGAAUCUUCUGAAGAUGUGUCUGACGUUCACGGCCCUGUCACAAACAGAACGCUGAGGCAUUGCUGUCACAGCUCUCAACUCAGAAUUUCCAUCAGAGUUUUUUUUUCAGAAAGUAUUUUCCAGUUGUCAGGAUGCUAAUUUCUACUGUUUAAUUUAGAAACAUGCUGGUUUAUUUAACAAGAGUCUGUAAGAAUAGAAAUGUAAAGGAUUGUACUGCAUCAUAAUAAAGCUUUUCUUGCUACCGUAGCAUUCUUUGAAAGAAGAAGGUUUUAUUACACUUGGAGCAUGUCUUUCAUUAUUACGAGGCAGAAAGCUCAUGUUCAGACUGCCUGAGGUUUGACCAGAAGAUGACCUAGAUGUGCUUAGUUUAUUUUUUACCUCUGUGUAUACUAGUUGUGUGUAUCAAACUGCAAUGAUAGGUAUUUUGUGUCUAUCUAAAAGCAACAAUAGUUUCAUGUAUGAAUGUGCAACAGGCUUGUGACCGCUGUUGCUUAACUUUUUACCGUAGCCAAGCAUUAAAGAAAUAAUAAAAGUUAAAGAAAAAAUAAUAGGAAUGCAACAAUUCCUGGGUUUCUUUCUGGUUUCUUCUUGGUUCCGAAGGUUUGGGUCUGUCAGAAUCAGUUUUCUCUGAGCUUGCAACAUGCUGUGUUUGUGAGCUAUUUGCGGUGGAAUGUAGCUCCGUUGCUGUACAAUCUUUUGUUGUGUAGGAAUAUGGUGUAAAAAUCUGCUAACUGUCUUCAGAAAAAAAAAAAAAAACAGAAACAAAAAACUGUGUUAGUUUGCAGCAGCAAUUAGACUGGUUUCUGUUGUUAUUUUUGCUUGGUACCAUUCAGUAUAAGGCCUCCGACCCAGCACUGAUUUCCCAACAGAAUUCCUGUUUGCUUCGUCUGCUUCAGUUGGACGUGCCGUUGGCCUUGCGUUUCAAAACAUUGCCCUCUUGCAUAAUUUCUCACAUAUAUAACCCAGGUCCAGCAGCUGUCUGCUGUCUUUACACGUUGUUUUCUUCCGUACAUAUCGUUUGCAUAGUAAAACUUAAAUUGUUGUAUUCCUAUGUAUCUAUAUAUAUGUAUGAAAAUGUAAACCAUGUACUUGUGCCUGCAGUAUGUAUGUGCAGGGGCAGAGCUGAGGGACACUGGUCUUUUGACACUAUACUUGUGUAAAUUUUGAUACUGUAUUAAACUAUUUUUUUACAGUUCCACAUACGACUGGGUAUCAAGUAUCUGUGUUCAUCUUAGCAAUGGUAAUAAAUUAUAGAAUCUCA